UACGGAGGGUGCGAACGUUAUUCGGAAUCACUGGGCUUAAAGCGCGUGUAGGCGGGGCGGCACGUCGGUCGCUGAAAGCCCCCGGCUCAACCGGGGAACGGGCGCCGAUACGACCGCCCUCGAGGGACGUAGGGGGACCUGGAACUUCCGGUGGAGCGGUGAAAUGCGUUGAGAUCGGAAGGAACGCCCGUGGCGAAAGCGAGGUCCUGGACGUCUGCUGACGCUGAGACGCGAAAGCCAGGGGAGCGAACGGG
rnacentral:rRNA from 1 species